GAUGAAGAACGUAGCGAAAUGCGAUAAGUAAUGUGAAUUGCAGAAUUCAGUAAAUCAUCGAAUCUUUGAACGCACAUUGCGCCCGCCAGUAUUCUGGCGGGCAUGCCUGUCUGAGCGUCAUUUCAACCCUCAUGCCCCUAGGGCGUGGUGUUGGGGAUCGGCCAAAGCCCGCGAGGGACGGCCGGCCCCUAAAUCUAGUGGCGGACCCGUCGUGGCCUCCUCUGCGAAGUAGUGAUAUUCCGCAUCGGAGAGCGACGAGCCCCUGCCGUUAAACCCCCAACUUUCCAAGGUUGACCUCAGAUCAGGUAGGAAUACCCGCUGAACUUAAGCAUAUCAAUAAGCGGAGGA
rnacentral:misc_RNA from 1 species